rnacentral:sRNA from 1 species
UCUUUAAGGGCUUCUACUUGUUUACCUGUGUUGUCCUGUAUUUCUUUAAGGGAGUUAUUUAUGUCGUUUAAGUCUUCUAACAUCAUUAUGAGAUAUGAUUUUUAUCAGAGUCUUGCUUUUCCAGUGUGUUUGGGGGUAUCUAGGACUUGCUGUGGUGGGACAACUGGAUUCUAAAGAUGCCAAGUGGCCUAGGUUUCUGUGGUUUAGUUUCUUGUACUUGCCUCUCAACAUCUGGUUAUCACUGGUGUUAGAUGGUCUUGCUGUCUCUGACAGUGGAUUGACCCUCCUUAUGUCUGUGUCAGCACUCCUGGGAGACUAGUUCUUUCCCAGCAGAGAGCUAUGUCACAGGGUCAGCGCUGCAGGCACAUGGAAGCCAGAAGGAUCCUGUCCCAGACUACUCUUCCAUUCCCCUGUCGUGAGGGCCCAGGAUGGGUCCCUUUGAGCAGAAGGAACAGUCUCACCUGUGCUCCCAGGUGUGUCAGCACUCCUGGGAGACCAGCUUUUUCCUGGGUAUCCAGGUACAAAGAGCUGUGGUUCAGGGCCAAUUCUGGGUAUAGAUGGAAACCUCUUUCCCUACUCUUAUGUGCUUUGAAAAAGCUCCUGAAUUGGCCAUUAAGAUUAGUUGGAGGUUCCUCAGGUAUAUUUAGUAAGUCACUCACAGGAAGACAAAGGAUGCAAACUGGGCUCAGCCACUCACCUCUCAGCUUCUGUAUGCUUCAAUUCAACCUCCAAAACUGCUAAUGUACCUAAUUAUCACUGAGAGAUUUUGGGAGUGGGGAGGAGGCCUGUACCUUCUCUGUUGGAGAGAGAGUCUGGGAUGGAAUAAUCCCAGGAAGAAAAAUACUCUCUGAAAGCGCUCCAUAGUCCUGCUAGAAAGUGCCUGAAACCUGCACUUUUGUUUUUCCCCCAACUAUUGGCAUCUCUGGUAUAGUUUAUAUCAGGCUAAUCUGAGCACCCAUAGAUGAGUCAGGAGUUAGCAGCUGCAGUGUGUUGGAUUUGGGUUUUGUGGUGACUAUGAUUAUUUGAUCGCUGUACUUCAAGAUCUUGCCUCUUGUCCUGCAUCUUCCCAGCAAAGCUUUGUUACUUUGAACCCUGAUUUAUGUUUUUUCUUUCUUUAUCUCACCAACAGGUAUGUUAUUCUUUGGCUUCCCUCCCUGGGAGCCUGGAGGCAUACAGGAAGGAUACAAGUAUUGCUUUCAUUAAAAAAAAAAAAAGAAUCAGUUAUCUACUAGGAAUUGUAGGCACCUGCCAUGCUCCCUGUAGAUUUUCUAAGACCUUGCAUCCAUUUUGGCCAUUUCACUGUACAACCCACACAGAGACAGAGGAGCCAGGAAGUUCAAGUUCACAUCCUGAUCCCUCCUCAUUCACAACAGCACAAUGACAGCAGUAACAUGAAAGCCACCACAGUGACAAUAAGAAUGGUUUCCAAGGUAAAAUGAGAAUUGUAUGCCAGGUGUCCCACACAGCAAUUAAUAGAUAUUGUCAGAUGGGAUCUUCCCCAACAUGAAAAACAGCCUAGGCUCAUUCAGUUAACACUGAGAUCAGGAUGGUGAGAGGCAUCUCUGAGCCUUCAUUCUCAUCCCUUCAUUACAAAGCCAUGACCUCACUCCGAUAUGAUCCUGCUGGCCUACACCUUGACGGCAAGAAUAAUCUAAAGUGUGACCCCUCUCAACUGGAAAAAUACUUUCAUAUUUCGUUCCUCUACGAACAAUGAAUGUUAGAAAGAAGAAGCAGAACUAUCUACAGUAGAAUAUGUGGGUGCAUGAGAUGGUGUGAUGGGACACUGUGUACUCUUCACAUAGUUUCCCAAAAGGAAGGUGUCUCUUCUGAGAAGGCAGAGCUGUCUGAGAAGACUGGGAUACUUGGAGUAAAGUGGAAGAAAUCUUUUAUUUAAUUAUUCAAAGAAAAUAAUGGACUUCUGCUAGCCCCUACCAUUGGGCAUCAAAGGGCCUUAUUUUGGAAGAGAAUAUCUCAGUAAAGUAAUAAUGGAUUUUUACGGUGCUAGGGCUUUAUGACAGAUGUGAUGCAAAAGAUACAUUGAAGAGUUAAAGAAUCAGAUGUUUGGACACCAUAUUUCUGGCCAGGCCAGAGAUUGGAAAAUACUUUCUCCAAAGGUCCACAUAGAAGGUUCUGAAGAAGGUGCUUUCCUUGCAAACAUGAAGAACUUCAUUUCGUCCCCAGAACAUGGGAAAAAACAUAAGGUGGGCAUCAUAUGCAUUUUUAAUCUUAGUGUCAGGCAGCUGCAGACAGACAGAAUCUGAAGCAUGCUGUUCAGCUAGUCUCCCUUACUAAUCCAUUUCUAAGCCAGUGAUACAUCACUUGAGGUUCACUUCUGCCUCUACACAUCUGUGCCCACAUAUACACAUAGAUCACACACACAGACAGUAAGAAUUUGGGGCUUUGAGGCCCAUGCAUAAACAAAUGAUCAUGGUUAUUUCCCAGCAAAAUUUUACCAAGGUCCCAGCAUGUUCUGCUGUUCCUCUGCUAGGGAUCAUAGAGGCAAAGCAUGGCCUUUCUACAAAAUGGUACAGUCUCUGGAUAGGGCUUUGCUUUAGGAGUAGAAACAGACUUUCAACCUCAGUUGUUCUUCCUCUCUGUGAGAUGUAUAAGCAUCUCAUGUCUGAUUCUCCAAGAUAGAACUAAGAAGUUGUAGAGAAAGAAAUUUCUGGUACUAAAUUUCAACAGGGUACUAAAGGCCCUCUACCAGGCAGCUUUGCACAAAGGGCAUAACUCGAAGAGUAUUUCUGUGGAUAUCACAGAGGGGUGUCGAGCAGGUAGAGGAACUUAAAUGCAGAAGAACCCUCUUCCAGACACAAAAAUCGAACUGAAACAAUGAACACAGGAUAUGAAUAGACACUUUUCCCAAAGAAGCCAUACAAUUGAGCCAAAAAUCAUGGACAUAUACCCAACAUGGUUAGCUAGUUAUAGAAUGAAAAAUCAAAUCAAAAUCACAGGGAGCUCGCACUUCACAGAUCCUGGGAUGAGUAAAGUUGAAAAUUAGAGCAGACUUCUUCAUGAAGAUAUAGGGAGAUGGGAAGGACGGAUGGGAAAAUAAUCAGAGUGACUGUUAGAAACAACCUUAGCACAGUCUUCCAGAAUUAAACAUGUAGUUGUCAUAUGACACGGUAACUACAUUCCUAGUUAUUUAUUGAAGAAGAAUGAAAAUAUCUGCCCAUAAAAUACUUAUAAAUGAAAAUACCUAUUCUUGGAUUAUUAGUAAGAAGUGAAAUAUGGAAACAACCCAAAUUUCCAUUCAUCAAGAAACAGACCUACAUUCAAUCCUAUGGGCAGAUAUUCCUUGACAACAAAUGGAGAGGUUUCUGCACAGUAGGAAGAAAAACAAAGAUAAAAAACAAAAAGAGAACUCUUGAAUGGAAGAAAUAUUUGCAAUGUGUUUAUAAGUAUGUAUAAUAUCUUGAAGCUUAUACAAUUGAAUAGCAAAUAAUAGUCUAAAUUUCAAAGAUAGUAAAGGUGUUAUACAAAAGGCUUUUUUCAACAUCAAGCCUGGACACUGAAGUCUUCUGCAUUCUGGGUAUAUGUUCUACCACUGAGCUACAUCCCCAGAUAUUCUUUUCAAAGAAGCAAUACAAACAGCUGAGAGGUUUAUGAUAAAAUGCUCAACAUCAUUAAUCAUCAAGGAAACAUAAAUAAAAACCACAGGCUAUCACUUCAUACUUGUUAGGUCAAGUAUGACAGUCAGGAGAACAAGAAGAACACUUGUAGAUUGUUGGUGGGAAUUUAAAUUAUUUUGGGUAUCAUGAAUAAGUACUGUGUAGGGUUUUCAGACAUUUAAAACUACUAAGACCAUUAUCAGAAUUCUGGGUAUGUAUACAAGAAAAAUAAGAUUAUUAUCUCUAAGAGAUAUGAACACUCCCAUGCUUACUAUAGCAUUAUCCACAAUACCCAACAUAAAGAAGGAAGGUGUCCACCUAAAGACAACUGGACAAAGAAAGUGUGUGUGUGUGUCUGUGUGUCUGUGUAUGUGUGUACAUGGUACAUACACAUAUAACUUAGCCUUAAAAUGGAAAGAUGUACUGAUACCAAACUAUAUUAACCUAGAGGACAUUAGAAAUAGAAAGGCAGAAGGCAAAUGUGUACAAUCUCACUCACAGGUUGUGGUGAUUUGAAUACGUUUGGCCAGCACAGAUUCAUGUGUUUGAACACUUGGCCCAGCUCCACUGUCCUCCAUCUAGACUUGGCCAAGCCAGGGGAGGUUGGUGGUGGCCACAGGCCCAUUCCACCAUGGGCUCUUAUAGGGUGUAGACAGCUGGGGGCAGAGAAGGGGAAAGGCAAUCUUAUCUCUUCCUCCCAGACCCGUGUGCCCCAGUGCUUGCUCCUUCUCUCCUAACCCCAAUGAACAGUACCUCCUCCUUUCCCUUCCGUUCCUGGACAGGAGUCUUGGGGGCAGAGAGGGUGAGUGUGGUCCCAGUGAGCUCUCUGGUCCUCCUGUUCUGGGUCCUUCCCCCACUUGUUGGAGUGAGUGUGGCCUUGUUGGAGGAAGUGUAUAUAGAUGGACUCUGAGGUCUCCUAUGCUCAAGCUCUGCCCAGUAUAUGGCAGUCUUCUCUUUGCUGCGUUUGGAUCAAGAUGUAGAACUCUCAGCUCAAUCUCUAGCACCAGGUUGGCCUGUAUGACCAUUGCUUCCUGCAAUGUCAACAUUGGAAUGAGCCUCUAAAACUGUAAGUCAGACCCAAUAAAUGUUGUGCUUUAUAAGAAUUUCCUUUGUUAUGAUGUCUCUUCAAAGCAAAAGAAACCCUAAGACACAAGUAGAAUCUAAAAAGGUUCAACUCAGAGAAACAAAAAGUGAACCAGCAGUUCCCCAGAUUUGGAAAGUGAAGAUCUGUUCACAGGGCAUAAAAACCCAGUGAUAGGAUGACUAAAUUCUGGCCAUCUAGUUAGUAUCAAUCAUUGUUACCACAGUCAAUAAAUUAUUGUGUAUUUGAAUUUUCUUAGGAAAAUUUCCUACAAGAAAGCUAGCUAGAUAUAUCAACUUGAUUAUGGUAAUUGCUUUAUAAUGUAUACAUCAUGUCAUGUCAUCAUGUUGUAUCACACACACACACACACACACACACACACACAAUCAUUUCUGAACAAAGUUGGAGUAGAUGAAGUACUUCUACAUAGUAAAGAGGGUCAUCCAUGAAAAUUUGAAACAUCAGACUAAUAAAAUCUUAGUGGAUCACAUGACAUCAUUAAACAAUAUAGUUUAAAUAAAAGAGCUGCACAGCAUUUGAAUGAUAUUUCAAUAAAGUUGCAUUAAAAAAAAGAAGAUUUCCAUUUAGCGGCUGACACAAAGGUCCAGCUAAAAACAUUGAUAAAAGUUAGUUUUAGCCCAGCUGAGGUCAAACAUAGACGUGACUCCUUUAUUAUUCGGGUGCAC